UGACAUUUGCUCAGAUGCUACAAAGUGAGAC
rnacentral:piRNA from 1 species